rfam:Brachypodium distachyon strain Bd21 chromosome 1, whole genome shotgun sequence.
CUUGUACUUACUCUAUCCAACAAAGGAUGUCUCAACUUUGACUAAAUUUGAAUGCAUCUAUACACUAAGUCAUGUCUAGAUACAUCCAAAUUUUGACAAAUUUGAGACAUCUUUUGCUGGACGGAGGGAGUGGAAG